GGAGCUAAAUGCAGUCGAGCGGAUGGAUUAAGAUCUUUCUCUUAUGAAGUUAGCGGCGGACGGGUGAGUAACACGUGUGUGACCUGCCCUGAAGAAUGGGAUAACUCCGGGAAACCGGGGCUAAUACCCGAUAACACUUUUGAACCGCAUGGUUCGAAAUUGAAAGGCGCUUCGGCUGUCACUUAUGGAUGUACCCGCGUCGCAUUAGCUAGUUGGUGAGGUAACGGCUCACCAAGGCAACGAUGCGUAGCCAACCUGAGAGGGUGAUCGGCCACACUGGGACUGAGACACGGCCCAGACUCCUACGGGAGGCAGCAGUAGGGAAUCUUCCGCAAUGGACGAAAGUCUGACGGAGCAACGCCGCGUGAGUGAUGAAGGCUUUCGGGUCGUAAAACUCUGUUGUUAGGGAAGAACAAGUGCUAGUUGAAUAAGCUGGCACCUUGACGGUACCUAACCAGAAAGCCACGGCUAACUACGUGCCAGCAGCCGCGGUAAUACGUAGGUGGCAAGCGGUAUCCGGAAUUAUUGGGCGUAAAGCGCGCGCAUGUGGUUUCUUAAGUCUGAUGUGAAGGCCACGGCUCAACCGUGCAGAGCAUUGUAAACUGGGAUACUUGAUCGAGAAGA
rnacentral:rRNA from 1 species